AUGGACAGUCUUACUUCCUCAUUCCUGCUGCUGAUUGUCCCUGCAUAUAUUCUGUCCCAGGUUACUCUGAAAGAGUCUGGCCCUGGGAUAUUGCAGUCAUACCAACCCAUCAGACUUACUUGCACUUUCUCUGGGUUUUCAUUGAGCACUUCUGGUAUAGGUGUAAGCUGGAUUCGUCAGCCCUCAGGGAAGGGUCUGGAGUGGCUGGCAACCAUUUGGUGGGAUGAUGAUAAACGCUACAACCCAUCUCUGAAGAGCAGGCUCACAGUCUCCAAAGACACUUCCAACAACCAAGCAUUCCUGAUGAUCAUCAGUGUGGAAACUGCAGACACUGCCAUAUACUACUGUGCUCAGAGUGCAGGCACAUUGACACAGAGUCAGUUUACAGCUGUACAGUAG